rnacentral:rRNA from 1 species
UACGUAGGGUGCGAGCGUUGCCCGGAUUUAUUGGGCGUAAAGAGCGUGUAGGCGGCCCGGUAAGUCCGCUGUGAAAGUCGGGGGCUCAACCCUCGAAUGCCGGUGGAUACUGUCGGGCUAGAGUGCGGAAGAGGCGAGUGGAAUUCCUGGUGUAGCGGUGAAAUGCGCAGAUAUCAGGAGGAACACCGAUUGCGAAGGCAGCUCGCUGGGACGUCACUGACGCUGAGACGCGAAAGCGUGGGGAGCAAACAGG